CCCUGCUGAGGGAAUCGAAGAAAAUGAAACAGAGGAGGGAGAUAGAGAGAGCAAGGGGAAAAAAAAAACGUGAGUCUUGUCCAUUCCGAGCUCUACUGCUUAAACUUGGUCUGAGUUGCACUUCAAUUUCUUGCCCGAUUCGGGAUAGCUGGCCUAAGCUCGAUACCUCGUUGUCAUAUUGAUAUACGGGGAUUAAGGAGACUGAAUUCUUGUACUCUGAAAGGCUCGACUCAGUGAGCUAUCUUUCUUGGAGUUGUCGAUAAGCUUCUAGCUGUGCAGAAAAAUCACUUUUUGAUAUCGGGGAUCAGCUCGGAGAACUAGGUAGGGACUCUUGGUAUUUGAUAAGUAUUCUUUUUGUAUAAAAUGUAUUUGAAAAUGUUACGACCUGAAACUUUUGUUUAGUUAGUUUAGUGAUGUGGUUGA